ACCGAAGUUGAAAUUGGAAUUGGGCAAGGAAAGAAAUUAAAGUUGAGAAAAAAUUGAGGGAAUCAAGAAGUUCUACUCACUGAUUGUCUUAAAAAUUUUCUCUCAUGUAUAGGAAAUAAAGAGAGUGAGAGAGUAGUGUGCUAGGCCAAUAUCUUAUGCUAAUCUUUCUUCAUUAAUAAAAGAAACAAGUUUCUUCACAACUUGCCAUGUUUACAUCUGAGUACGCUUAGAGUUAGGAAAUGAAACUAAGCUGUGCUAC
rnacentral:lncRNA from 1 species